rnacentral:rRNA from 1 species
CAGUGUAAUCCAAGCAAAGUGUGCUUUAGUUUGGUGACCCGAAACUAAGUGAGCUACUUCAAGACAGCCUAUUAAUAGGGCAAACCCGUCUCUGUUGCAAAAGAGUGGGAAGAGCUUUGAGUAGAGGUGACAGACCUACCGAACUUAGUUAUAGCUGGUUGCCUGGGAAUUGGAUAGAAGUUCAGCCUCCCGGAUUCUUUAUUCACCUCAGUUUUACCCCUUCUGACACCUUUGAGAAACCGAGAGAGUUAGUCAAAGGGGGUACAGCCCCUUUGAAUCAAGAUACAACUUUUCCAGGAGGGUAAAGAUCAUAAUAACAGAAGGUACUAUAUUUAGGUGG